GCCGCCGUAGCUCAGGGGUAGAGCACACCCUUGGUAAGGGUGGGGUCGGGUGUUCGAUUCACCCCGGCGGCACCA
rnacentral:tRNA from 3 species